rnacentral:rRNA from 1 species
AUUGAACGCUGGCGGCAGGCCUAACACAUGCAAGUCGAGCGGAUGAAGGGAGCUUGCUCCUGGAUUCAGCGGCGGACGGGUGAGUAAUGCCUAGGAAUCUGCCUGGUAGUGGGGGAUAACGUCCGGAAACGGGCGCUAAUACCGCAUACGUCCUGAGGGAGAAAGUGGGGGAUCUUCGGACCUCACGCUAUCAGAUGAGCCUAGGUCGGAUUAGCUAGUUGGUGGGGUAAAGGCCUACCAAGGCGACGAUCCGUAACUGGUCUGAGAGGAUGAUCAGUCACACUGGAACUGAGACACGGUCCAGACUCCUACGGGAGGCAGCAGUGGGGAAUAUUGGACAAGGGGCGAAAGCCUGAUCCAGCCAUGCCGCGUGUGUGAAGAAGGUCUGCGGAUUGUAAAGCACUUUAAGUUGGGAGGAAGGGCAGUAAGUUAAUACCUUGCUGUUUUGACGUUACCAACAGAAUAAGCACCGGCUAACUUCGU